rnacentral:rRNA from 1 species
GACGAACGCUGGCGGCGUGCCUAAUACAUGCAAGUUGAGCGCUGAAGGUUGGUACUUGUACCGACUGGAUGAGCAGCGAACGGGUGAGUAACGCGUGGGGAAUCUGCCUUUGAGCGGGGGACAACAUUUGGAAACGAAUGCUAAUACCGCAUAAAAACUUUAAACACAAGUUUUAAGUUUGAAAGAUGCAAUUGCAUCACUCAAAGAUGAUCCCGCGUUGUAUUAGCUAGUUGGUGAGGUAAAGGCUCACCAAGGCGAUGAUACAUAGCCGACCUGAGAGGGUGAUCGGCCACAGUGGGACUGAGACACGGCCCAAACUCCUACGGGAGGCAGCAGUAGGGAAUCUUCGGCAAUGGACGAAAGUCUGACCGAGCAACGCCGCGGGAGUGAAGAAGGUUUUCGGAUCGUAAAACUCUGUUGGUAGAGAAGAACGUUGGUGAGAGUGGAAAGCUCAUCAAGUGACGGUAACUACCCAGAAAGGGACGGCUAACUACGUG